rnacentral:sRNA from 1 species
UGGGUCUAAAUGAAAUCACUAGUUCUUG